CGAAUAACAUUUUGAUUUUUAAUCGACGUUUCGACUAGUUUGUAGUCAUCCUGAGGAUGACUACAAACUAGUCGAAACGUCGAUUAAAAAUCAAAAUGUUAUU
rnacentral:miRNA from 1 species